rnacentral:rRNA from 1 species
UACAGAGGUCUCAAGCGUUGUUCGGAUUCAUUGGGCGUAAAGGGUGCGUAGGUGGCGGGGUAAGUCAGGUGUGAAAUCUCGGGGCUCAACCCCGAAACUGCACUUGAUACUGCCUUGCUCGAGUACUGGAGAGGAGAUUGGAAUUUACGGUGUAGCAGUGAAAUGCGUAGAUAUCGUAAGGAAGACCAGUGGCGAAGGCGAAUCUCUGGACAGUUACUGACACUGAGGCACGAAGACCAGGGGAGCAAACGGG